rnacentral:rRNA from 1 species
AUUGAACGCUGGCGGCAGGCCUAACACAUGCAAGUCGAGAGAGCGGCGGACGGGUGAGUAAUGUAUGGGGAUCUGCCCGAUAGAGGGGGAUAACUACUGGAAACGGUGGAUAAUACCGCAUACUAUCGGCUGAACCCAUAUGGGAUUAGCUAGUUGGUGGGGUAAAGGCUCAAAUAGGCGACGAUCGCUAGCUGGUCUGAGAGGAGUAACAGCCACACUGGAACUGAGACACGGCCCAGACGGCUAGGUGAGGCAGCAGUGGGGAAUAGUGCACAAGGGGCGCAAGCCUGAUUCAGCCAUGCCGUGUGUAUGAAGAAGGCCUUAGGGUUGGAAAGUACUUUCAGCGGUGAGGCGUUACCCGCAGAAGAAGCACCGGCUAACUCCGUGCCAGCAGCCGCGGUAAUUC